rnacentral:rRNA from 1 species
AAGGCAGCAGGCACGCAAAUUACCCACUCCCGGCACGGGGAGGUAGUGACAAAAAAUAACGAUACGGGACUCAUCCGAGGCCCCGUAAUCGGAAUGAGAACACUCUAAAUCAUUUAACAAGGACCUAUUGGAGGGCAAGUCUGGUGCCAGCAGCCGCGGUAAUUCCAGCUCCAAUAGCGUAUAUUAAAGUUGUUGCGGUUAAAAAGCUCGUAGUUGGUUCUGCGUCCCACGCUGUCGGUUCACCGCCUGUCGGUGCAACUGGCACGCCGUGGGAUGUCCUGUCGGUGGCGGCCGCGGCCCGGCGGUCGAGGGGUAAGAUCCGAAUGGGUCCGAACCCUCACCCCGGGAUCCGGUCGCCUAACUAAUCCCGCCGCGGUGCUCUUAACUGAGUGUCGAGGUGGGCCGACACGUUUACUUUGAACAAAUUAGAGUGCUCAAAGCAGGCUGAAUUCCGCCUGAAUAGUGGUGCAUGGAAUAAUUGAAUAGGACCUCGGUUCUAUUUUGUUGGUUUUCGGAAUCCGAGGUAAUGAUCAAUAUGGACAGGCGGGGGCAUUCGUAUUGCGGCGUUAGAGGUGAAAUUCUUGGAUCGUCGCAAGACGGACUAGAGCGAAAGCAUUUGCCAAGUAUGUCUUAGUUGAUCAAGAACGAAAGUUAGAGGUUCGAAGGCGAUCAGAUACCGCCCUAGUUCUAACCAUAAACGAUGCCAGCCAGCGAUCCGCCGAUGUUCCUCCGAUGACUCG